CUAAACAUGCUCGCAUCUAGUUCAAACGGGAGUGUGUACGUGUGUGUACAGAUGCAUAGUACUCAAGGCAUGCAAGGCGUAGGACUACAUGCACUAUGCGAUGUGUAUGUAAUGUAUUUGAAUUCAGAGUAAAAAAGCCGUUGCAUCAAGUAUCAUCCUGAAUACUCUCGUUUUCUCCUGCAAAUUUACAGUAUGGGCAUCCUUUUUUAACAUCUUUCGUCAAAGAAGUGGAUUCAAAGCACAUUGUGGCCUCGGUAUAUUGAUGUGAAACCAUGCAGAAAAUGCUACUCUCUCUCAACCUUGUGGAUGUUCCCUACUUCCCUAAGGAUCAGCAGCCUCUUGAAACAGUUGAAGCCAUUAUCGAAUUCCUUGCGUCUAUGUUUUCUGGAUCUGAAAGCAAAGCAUAAUGCCAGAGAUUCCACCCAAAAGCUAACCCAUGAGUCCAAGCUGAAGAGGAAUAUUUCCAAAUCGAUGGCUCCACUAAUCCGAUUGAAUUCCUUGCGUCUAUGUUCCCUGGAUCUGAAAGCAGUGCAUAAUGCCAGAGAUUCCACCCAAAAGCUAACCCAUGAGUCCAAGCUGAAGAGGAAUAUGUCCAAAAUUACAUGUAGAUCUACACUCACCCGAUAGUUAAACUGCUAGAAAAAAGGGUUUUUUUUCACUUCAUUAUAAUUUAUAGAGAGAGAUUGGGGGAGGGGGAGAGGUGAGGUGUAGCCACAAACCUGAAUGGCUAAGCUGUGGAACUGAAAUUCCCAUUCAUGUCACUUACAAUUUUAAUGAAUUACAGGGUGUACGAACUGACAUAAUAACAGUUUGAGUAAAAGAUUCCAGUAUUUUGCAUAUAUUUGUAAUUACUAUUUAUGAGGUUGACCUGUUUCAUAAUGCUUAAAUGUAGUAGACUUGAUAUGCUCAGUCUCAUGCUCACCCCCACCCCCCAUCCGCUUCUUAUCAGUUCUUAAAACCUGUUGCAAAUUAUAUAUAAGUUGGUAAUAGAGAAAAAUUGAGUGAGUUAAAUACAAUACAAAUCGAUUCCAUUAUUAAGCAACUAAGACUUGUUCAGAUACGGAACGUGAACCGCCAACAAUUUUCGAAAAUGAUGCAGUUUGGUUUUAUGUGUAAAGCGAAUGGCAACAAGUCUUUGUAUGUUUUGGACUGCGCAUAUUCAGUGAGCUCUUUUUUAAAAAUAAUAUACAGAAAUGUAAAGCAUAUUGAACUCUAUGUCAACAUUAAAAAAACUCUGAGAUUUUGUUUUGCAGCAUCAUAUCUGAACGAGCCUUAAAGGGACUUGGUAACAUUGUUCAUAUGAGAGAAAAUGAUGCUAAGUUAUUGACUUCAAUGCUAUACUGUAUGUACACUUAAAGAUAAUCUGAACAUUUGAGUUAAAAAUAGACCACUAUUGAUGAUUAAAAUUGGUGAUCUAAUCCAUUCCUUAAUUCUCCCAACUAUAUUUUUAUAAUUUGAUUAAAUUGAAGUGAGUGUAAAUCAUCACAAAGCAACGAAUUAGCUCCAAUACCUUUUCCAAAUUUAGGCGUUGAAAGAUUUUUAAAGGCCUGUUUUAUAUCUUAUUUUCAUGGAAAAACGGUUGGGGAAAAUUGAAAAUUUUGUUGGGAGAAUUAACUGUUAAAGAGUGACACACAGUAGCGCCUUCAAUGAAAACCAUAAAUACCUUGUGGUUUGAAAAAAAAUUGGUAGUUAAAAGUAUAAAAUUCUUGGAUUGUAUCUGUGAUUUUGAAAGCACAAUAUGGCUUACCUACAUGUAUAUUGAAUUUGCUGUUAAAAUUUAAGUUAAAUUUUAAUUCUUUUGUGAAACUCCUGGGACUUGCCAAAUGAAUGUUGUGACAUUAGCAAUGGAAUAUAUCUCUUUGUGCUAAACUUUUUCAGCAUGUUUGCUAUUUUAUCUUAAACUGGGAAAUAUCUUCUGAAUAAUUAUUCCACCGUCACCUUGGAAUUGCCCAACUGAGCCAAUCGUACUGGCGGGAAUGUUAUCUGAUAUAAAUUGUAUUUUAUACUUGAACUUCAGCUUCUGUAUUUGCAACAAAACUAAUUUUUUGAUAUUUAUAAAGAUGAAUGUUGCCACUAAUGCCUUUUCUUAUAUUUAAGUCAUGUGCCCGUAAGAAGCAGGUUUCUAGCACAGAGAAUAGGUACAGUUGAGCUGAUUUCUGCACAGUUUUCUAAUAUGCUGUAUCGCCAAAUGUGAACAUCAUGGUUUUGACGGGCAAGCAACCAUCAUCAGAAAACUCUGCAGGUAUCAGUGAAGCUCUCCCUGUUCCCCUUGCUGCCAACUUGUUCCUUUUGAGUGUAAGAAAUAACUUAGCUAAGCCAUGUGUUUAUCAUUUGUGCCAUUUUUCUCCUGUGUGUGAUUUAGAUUGUAUAGUUUUAUACUUUAUACUGAAUUCUUGCCAUGAACUUAGAUAUUCCCCUUGUAUGUAACAAGAAUUGAUCUUUCAUGCUCAGAAAUUCUUUCCAACAACCUUUUGUUUUAUGUGAUAGUCUUUAUCUGCAUUAAAGUCUUGGGGUUGUCAGGAGCAGUUUUGCAGCAUGGAGACGAGGUAGAGCUGCACUGAUGAAUGCCUAGCUUUCCACUAUGCUGUUUUGCUGAAUAUGAGGAACUUCCCCAGUGUGCUGUUUGCUUGUCUACUAAAAUACUGCGGGUAUCAGUAUAGCUUUACCUAGUCUCUAUGCUGCUAACCUGCUUCCCACAACCGUAAGACUUAUAAGUUUAGCCAAUAUGUCAUAGUUUCUUGUAGCACAAUUUAUAACGAAACAGAUAUCUUUGUGAUGGCCUGUUAACUUUCUUAAAAUAAAUUAUGAGACUGACAGAAAUACACUAGGUAUUUAUACAGCAUGUUUUGGAAGAAGUGUCAGGAUAGUGAUGAAAAGAUUUUGUACCAAUGGAAAACAAAGUUAGAUAGAAUAAGAAGGUAUAGAAAUACGUAUUUUAUAUUUUUGUUAUCCAUUUUCAUACCAUAUACGUGUACAUUAAAAAUAUGAAAAUUA
rnacentral:lncRNA from 1 species